rnacentral:misc_RNA from 1 species
UGAGAUCAAAGAUAGGGGAUUGGUGGUCCCAUGGAGCUGCCAGAUUUCAGUGAUUUCUCAUCCAACGGUUGGAGGGUUUCUAACACAUUGUGGGUGGAAUUCUGUGCUGGAGAGUAUAUGGUUUAAUGUUCCGAUGCUGUGUUAUCCUGUGUUCACUGAUCAAAUUACUAAUAGAAAAUUAGUAGUUGAUGAUUGGAAGAUUGGGCUUAAUCUUUGUGAUAGGAAGCUAAUCAGAAGAGAUGAAAUUGCAGAAAAGAUAAAUCGUUUAAUGAGUGGAAAAUCAACCAAUGAUUUGAGGAAGAAUAUGGAGCAAAUCAAAGAGAAAGUAGAGCAUGCAAUAUCCAGCGUUGGAUCCUCAGAAAAAAAUUUCAACCAGUUUAUUGGUAAUCUCAAGUUCAGAAUUUCCAAAGUGGCAAGAUGAGGAAAUAGACUUGCAUUAGGGUUAAGGGAUAGAAUUUGAGUCUCCUUUUCAUCUCAAUUAAAGAAUAAAUUCAAGUCUUCAAAAGUGACCAUUUUAAUGUGAGCAAGCCAAGCAAUGCAUUUGUUAAUAACCAUAUAUAAUUGUUUCUUGUUUUUUUCCAAUGAUAUAAUGAUUAUAAUUAAAAUU